UCAUAGACUAUGUUGGAUGAGCUUUCUUUCCAUGACCCCAUUGAUGUGAUGACUCUUUAAACUUAAGUUGAAUCAAUUGCAGUGAGUUGUAUUCAUUGUUGGGAAUUUCCUUUUGAAUUGAAUCUUUGAACUUGCCAUGGUGAAAAAUCUAUAUUACUCAUUAGAGAGAAUGAAUUGAAAGAUGUGUGAAUGAACUUAACAUGACUUGUUUUAGCAAUUGGUGUUGAUUUGCCCAAUGCAUUGAUUAAAGAAAUUCGGCAAAGGCUUAGACUUCAUGAGCACAAAUUGAAAAUUGUUCCAAUGGUUGAAAGACUACGAAUAGAGCUAGUAGCCACUU
rnacentral:lncRNA from 1 species